UACGAAGGGGGCUAGCGUUGUUCGGAUUUACUGGGCGUAAAGCGCACGUAGGCGGAUUGUUAAGUGAGGGGUGAAAUCCCAGGGCUCAACCCUGGAACUGCCUUUCAUACUGGCAAUCUCGAGUCCGGAAGAGGUGAGUGGAACUCCUAGUGUAGAGGUGGAAUUCGUAGAUAUUAGGAAGAACACCAGUGGCGAAGGCGGCUCACUGGUCCCGGUAUGACGCUGAGGUGCGAAAGCGUGGGGAGCAAACAGGGAUUA
rnacentral:rRNA from 1 species